rnacentral:misc_RNA from 1 species
AGUGGUGUCGAGGAGGGGUAGCCUGAGGCACAACCGAAAGGAUUAUUCGCGCAGCCACGAGCGGAACAGUGCCGAGGAAGAGGAAGCGGAGGAGGAGGAGGAGGAGGAGGAUUACGAUAUUUACGGGGAUGACGGACGUGGAAGUUUAAGGAGACGAGAAGAUUCGAGAGUCAGGUUAUCGAGAUCGGCGGUGCCGGGGGGUUAUCGGGAAGGCGUCGUCGUGAGGGUUCCGCCGACGGGAGUCGUCGGUGGUUACUGUGAUGUGGUGGAGUCCCCCGGAGGGUCGCGGUUGCAUCAUCAAGAUCACCGCUAUCAGGAGCACCGAGAUCACCACUCGCAUCGCGAGCAGCAUCAUCUACAAGGAGGUGGAGGAGGCGGAGGCGGCGGCGGUGGCGCAUCGUCGUCGUCUUCCCGUCGUCGCGUCAUCGUGAGAGCUCCCUCAUCGGGUCGCGAUAUCGGCAUAACGGCCCGCGGCGGCCUGGCCGGUGGUCCCGAGGAGGAGGACGACGGCGUAGGAUGGUGUGACCUCCGGCGUCAUCCCGCUCGACGUGGAGCCGGUGGGGGUGGAAGUGGCGGCGGCCCCGGCUCCGUCGGUGGUGGAUACGGUACCGAGCGUCUUCUCCUCGACUCCGAGGACGAGGAAGAACUCCCACCACCGCCGGGUAUGUCGUGGCAACAGCAACAGUCGAGAUCUGUUGGAGGUGUCACGGACAACCGCGGCGCUGGGCUUGCCACUUCCUCAUCCGCCGUUCAUCCUCCAUCCUCGUACACCCGCGACGAACGCGACCGGGAUCCGAGGCUCGUCGACACGGCCAAUACCGGACGCGAGCCAAUAUCCUCCCGCGAAUUGCGGGAGUCGCGUGAUCUCCGGGACAUCAGGGAUCAUCGUGACAUCCGCGACUCGAGGGAGAACUACGCUAGCGCCUCCAGACGAUCCGAAUAUCGUAGCGGCGACAGACCCGAGCGCGAACAGGACUACGACGACUAUGAUCCACCUGCUACCACGCGCUCCAAUCCUUCGGCCAACGCCUCGACCGCAGUCACCAAUAAUCCGACGAGAUCAAACGGACGAGCUUACGCCGGUGUCGUAUCAACCUCGGAUCCACGCAACAACCUCCAGUUGGUCAAUUUGUGCGUGCCCAAAAGAAGAAAUAUCAUCGGUUCGGCAGACUCCAACUAUUCGCAGCCGAGCUCGGAUCUCUCGCUGGACGAGGAGAAGGAAAGCUUGCGACGUGAGAAGGAAAGACAGGCGUUAAAUCAGCUCGAAAAAGCGAGGGCGAAGCCGGUCGCGUUCGCGGUCAGGACGAACGUUAGUUACGAUGGGACAGCUGACGACGAUUCGCCAGUCCACGGCUCAGCGGUCAGUUUUGACAUUCGUGACUUUCUUCACAUCAAGGAGAAAUACGACAACAAUUGGUGGAUUGGAAGGCUCGUGAAAGAAGGUUGCGAUGUCGGUUUCAUACCAUCACCCGUUAAAUUGGAAGCCCUUAGGGCCCAGGCGAGUGCAGCACGUGGCACGAAAGGUCUCUAUUCGGCCCGUGGUGGCUCGUCCGGGAAUCUGGGCGAGAGCGGAAUGCCUUCUCGAGGGUCCACCCCACCGACACCCGGCGACGACAGUGACAGCGUCGGGAACGUACGACCUGGAAAAGCCACCCUGACGACACCGCCAGCCAAGGAGAAGCGGAAGAACUUCUUUAAGAAGCCGUCCUACGAAAUGGCUACGCCUUACGACGUUGUCCCAUCAAUGAGGCCGGUCGUCCUCGUCGGACCUUCGCUCAAAGGUUACGAAGUUACGGAUAUGAUGCAGAAAGCACUUUUCGAUUUUCUAAAGCACAAGUUCGAGGGCCGGAUCAUCAUAACGAGGGUAAUGGCCGAUAUUUCGUUAGCCAAAAGAUCCUUGUUGAAUAAUCCCACGAAAAGAGCGAUAAUGGAACGUUCCACGAGUAGAAGUGGCUGCCUUGCCGAAGUCCAAGCAGAAAUCGAAAGAAUUUUCGAGCUCGCGAGAACUCUUCAGCUGGUCGUGCUGGAUUGUGACACGAUAAAUCACCCGUCACAACUGGCGAAGACGAGUUUAGCGCCAACGAUCGUAUAUCUCAAGAUAUCGUCGCCGAAAGUUCUGCAGAGGCUCAUAAAGUCGCGAGGAAAGUCGCAAACUCGUCAUUUGAACGUACAGAUGGUAGCGGCGGAAAAAUUGUCGCAAUGUCCAGCGGAGAUGUUCGACGUAAUAUUAGACGAGAACCAAUUGGACGAGGCGUGCGAGCACGUCGCCGAAUAUCUCGAGGCUUAUUGGAGAGCGACGCAUCCGCCAGUUAUUGCCCCGGUACCGAGAGUCAUGCCAGCUCCGAACACGCCAGCUGACGUUUUGGACACCCGUGUCUCCGCAGCUGCAAUGUACGGAUCGCAACACUUGUACCCGCCGCAGUGAUAGAGACAGAGUGAAAAAAGAAUUUUUAGAGAAUGAAAGUGGGCUGUGGCCUUCACCUUCCACGGUUCGCGAGUCCAGAUUCUUACGGUGGUCACGGUGGCACGAGGAGAUCGAGACUGGAGAGGCGCGAGAGGGACCGAGGGGAUCGCGGCGACCAGGAGUACGCGACCGAGGAGGAAUCUUAUCUCGGUG